rnacentral:ncRNA from 1 species
GAUCAUGAGCACGGGAGCCCGCCACAGGAGGGGCUGAGAGGGAGCAUUCGACUCCGACCGUUGAACCUGAUCUGGAUGAUGCCAGCGAAGGAAGCGAACUUGGCUCGGGC